rnacentral:rRNA from 1 species
AGGACGAACGCUGGCGGCGUGCUUAACACAUGCAAGUCGAGCGGUAAGGCCCUUUCGGGGGUACACGAGCGGCGAACGGGUGAGUAACACGUGAGCAAUCUGCCCUUCACUUCGGGAUAAGCCUCGGAAACGGGGUCUAAUACCGGAUAUGACCGCGCUACGCAUGUGGUGUGGUGGAAAGUUCUGGCGGUGGAGGAUGAGCUCGCGGCCUAUCAGCUUGUGGUGGGUAAUGGCCUACCAAGGCUUCGACGGGUAGCCGGCCUGAGAGGGUGACCGGGCCACGACGUGGGACCUGAGACACGGCCCAGACUCCACGGGAGCCAGCAGUGGGAAUGUGGACAAUGGGACAAAGGCCUAGAUCCGAGCAACGCCGCGUGAGGAUGACGGCCUUCGGUGUAACCU